AUCUGGCUGACAUGGUACUCUAUCAAAUCUCCUCAAAGGUGCCUCUGCAAUGGGCUUUAGGUUUGAUCUAAUCAAAUCUAGUUUUAUAGAUUCAUUUAUUUAUGUCAGUUCUUCUACCUAUUGAACUUCAUCAAAUUUAAUCUUACAGACAUUAGUUCCUUCCCCAAGAAACUUUUUUUCUAAAAAGAUAGCCCUAUGGUUGACCAACAUUUUUUGUUCUUUAGCAAGGAAGAAGUAAUACCCCUUAGUUUCUUUUGGAUACUCAAUAAAAAGAUAUUUAUUAGAUCGAGAUCUAAUUUUAUCUAUUUUUAAAUAUUUAACAUAAAUCGGAUACCUCCAAAUC
rnacentral:lncRNA from 1 species